rnacentral:rRNA from 1 species
UACGUAGGGGGCUAGCGUUGUCCGGAAUCAUUGGGCGUAAAGCGCGCGUAGGCGGCCCGGUAAGUCCGCUGUAAAAGUCAAAGGCUCAACCUUUGAAUGUCAGUGGAUACUGCCGGGCUAGAGUCCGGAAGAGGCGAGUGGAACUCCUGGUGUAGCGGUGGAAUGCGCAGAUAUCAGGGAGAACACCGACGGCGAAGGCAGCUCGCUGGGACGGUACUGACGCUGAGGCGCGAAAGCGUGGGGAGCGAACAGG